GGGCUUGACAUCCCACGAACCUGGUGGAAACACCGGGGUGCCUUCGGGAGCCGCAAGACAGGUGCUGCAUGGGUGUCGUCACCUCGUGUGGUGAGAUGUUGGGUUAAGUCCCGCAACGAGCGCAACCCCUAUCCUUAGUUGCCAUCAUUCAGUUGGGCACUCUAAGGAGACUGCCGGUGUCAAACCGGAGGAGGGAGGGGAUGACGUCAAGUCCUCAUGGCCCUUAUGUCCAGGGCUACACACGUGCUACAAUGGCCGGUACAAGGGUUGCGAUACCGCAAGGUGGAGCUAAUCCCAUAAAGCCGAUCUCAGUUCGGAUUGAAGUCUGCAACUCGACUCCAUGAAGGAGGAAUCGCUAGUAAUCGCGCAUCAACGCGGCGCGGUGAAUACGUUCCCGGGCCUUGUACACACCGCCCGUCACACCACGAGAGCCAGCUGUAUUCAAAGUCGCUGAG
rnacentral:rRNA from 1 species